rnacentral:rRNA from 1 species
GUAGGUGGCAAGCGUUGUCCGGAAUUAUUGGGCGUAAAGCGCGCGCAGGCGGUUCUUUAAGUCUGAUGUGAAAGCCCACGGCUCAACCGUGGAGGGUCAUUGGAAACUGGAGAACUUGGGUACAGAAGAGGAAAGCGGAAUUCCACGUGUAGCGGUGAAAUGCGUAGAGAUGUGGAGGAACACCAGUGGCGAAGGCGGCUUUCUGGUCUGUAACUGACGCUGAGGCGCGAAAGCGUGGGGAGCAAACAGGGAUUAGAUACCCUGGUAGUCCACGCCGUAAACGAUGAGUGCUAAGUGUUAGGGGGGUUUCCGCCCCCUUAGUGCUGCAGCUAACGCAUUAAGCACUCCGCCUGGGGAUACGGCCGCAAGGCUG